rnacentral:antisense_RNA from 1 species
CUUCACCGACCCCAGCCACAAUGGACGCUCACUCUCGCGCCCCUGCCCGUACGUGGCGAGCAGCGCCUGCGCCUC